UACCCGCAGCACAAGUGGUGGUCAUUAUUAUUGGGCCUAAAGCGUCCGUAGCUGGUUUGUUAAAUGCCUGGGUAAAUCGAUGCGCUCAACGUAUCGACUUCCGGGUAGACUGGCAAACUCGAGACCGGGAGAGGCGUGAGCUACUCGAGGGGUAGGGGUAAAAUCCUGUAAUCCUUCGGGGAGGACCAGUGGCGAAGGCGUCACGCUAGAACGGCUCUGACAGUGAGGGACGAAGCCCUGGGGCGCAAACCGG
rnacentral:rRNA from 1 species